GUAAACCCUUCAGGAGGGACGAAGCCAGGGCGGUUAAUAGCCGACCCGGGUGACGGUACCUCCAGAAGAAGCCCGGCUAACUACGUGCCAGCAGCCGCGGUAAGUACGUAGGGGGCAAGCGUUGUCCGGAAUCAUUGGGCGUAAAGAGCGUGUAGGCGGUCCGGUAAGUCGGCUGUGAAAGUCCAGGGCUCAACCCUGGGAUGCCGGUCGAUACUGCCGGACUAGAGUUCGGAAGAGGCGAGUGGAAGUUCCCGGUGUAGCGGUGAAAUGCGCAGAUAUCGGGAGGAACACCUAUGGCGAAGGCAGCUCGCUGGGACGUUACUGACGCUGAGACGCGAAAGCGUGGGGAGCAAACAGGAUUAGAUACCCUGGUAGUCCACGCCGUAAACGAUGGGCACUAGGUGUGGGAGGUGUCGACUCCUCCCGUGCCGGAGCUAACGCAUUAAGUGCCCCGCCUGGGGAGUACGGCCGCAAGGCUAA
rnacentral:rRNA from 1 species